rnacentral:lncRNA from 1 species
GGCAUAUGUAAUGCACCUGAGUGACUGGAAGGAGUGGAGCCAGGAUUCACUCCUUCCCUGACUUCAUUUAAGGGUUGUCAGUGGAGGAAAGGGUAUCUCAUUUGGAGAUCCCUGUCUAUCUGAAGCCUUCCAAAGCAAUCUUUUAGAUUCUGUGGAGAUGAUGAAGAUUUAGCGAUCUCCAUUAUUAGAAGAAAAUCUAUGAAGUAAUUUGUGUGCAUUGCUGACCAUCACAUGAAACGCCUUCCAAUAACAUGUUUAUGGUUCAACUUCAUAUAUUGAACUACAAAGCUGAAUGGAUUUUGCAAAAAAUCACUGGAGUCAGACAACACGAGAAAACUGAGAAUUAAGAGCUUUGAAAAAAGACAGAAAAUGAGACCAUUUUACAAUAUGACCACAAUUACUAUUUCAGAAAUAUGAUAAAGUUUCCAAAGGAAGUGGAAAAACCCAAACUACAAGCAACAGUCAGACUUUGACGGAAUAAAUGACUUCUUCCGGAAGAUGCAGAGACAAAGGGGAAACAAAAAACAAACAAACAAACAAACAAAAAACACUGGUAAUACUCCUCCCCCAUCAAAACACAAGCGACUUUUUCAAACAAGUAUUUGGAAAAAAUAGAUAAGUCAUUCAUUGCUGUAAAGGUCAAAAGACAGCUUCUGCCACAUCAUAUGGGAAAAGUUAAUUCCAGCAUUUUCGGGUAUGGAGGUCUCAUCUUACUUGCACAGUUUCUCUGUAUUUUAUUUCCAUUAUUUCUGUUUGUGUUGUUGUAUGAUUUGGAG